CGCGUAGGCGGCCAUUCAAGUCGGGGGUGAAAGCCUGUGGCUCAACCACAGAAUUGCCUUCGAUACUGUUUGGCUUGAGUUUGGUAGAGGUUGGUGGAACUGCGAGUGUAGAGGUGAAAUUCGUAGAUAUUCGCAAGAACACCAGUGGCGAAGGCGGCCAACUGGACCAACACUGACGCUGAGGCGCGAAAGCGUGGGAGCAAACA
rnacentral:rRNA from 1 species